GAAGCUCUUUGAGCUUGGUGGUGCCGACGAAACUCCUCCUCUGCUUGCAUGGCCCGAGACAGAACUUCAUCGGGAGGUAUUUUAUUCCUUUCAAAAACGAAGUUGUUCCUGAUAAGCCAAGAAUGCCAUAGAAGGUAAGCAAGUUAGGCACUUCUAAUCUUGUAAUGAUCUUAAUUGAAACUGGCUAGAGGGGAUAAAUUUCACAAUCCUACCAUUUCAAGACAUAGUACAGUGACAUGAAUUGGGAAUUCUGCCACGAUGCAUUUGGGGCAAUUAGCUGAAAUUUGGGAUUCCAGAGCUUUUUCCAUAUUUCUUUAUGUUGGAAGCGCUGAUGGAGCUGUUCUUGUGGGGGAUGGUAAAAUUGGGAGCUGACAAAUUUUCUGUGCUGUUUCACGGCCAAAGUUCAGAUUGACGAGUGUUUGAUUCCAUUCACCAGACUCUGUAAAUAGUUGUCUAAGUCAGGUAAGGUUUUUAUUUUUGAAUUCUCCAUUAGGUAUAAGAAAUGGUGGUUGAGCUCCAAACUAUGGAUCCUCCCUUAUUCGA